rnacentral:rRNA from 1 species
CAAUAGCGUAUAUUAAAGUUGUUGCAGUUAAAAAGCUCGUAGUUGGACUUGUGGCGGUUCCUGUGGUCCGAUUUCGGUACUUUCGGGGACUGCCAUCCUUGGGUGGAUCCUGUGUGGCAUUAGGUUGUCGUGCAGGGGAUGCCCAUCGUUUACUGUGAAAAAAUUAGGGUGUUCAAAGCAGGCUUAUGCCGUUGAAUAUAUUAGCAUGGAAUAAUGAGAUAGGACCUUGGUACUAUUUUGUUGGUUUGCGCACCGAGGUAAUGAUUAAUAGGGACAGUUGUGGGUAUUCGUAUUCCAUUGUCAGAGGUGAAAUUCUUGGAUUUCUGGAAGACGAACUAAUGCGAAAGCAUUUACCAAGGAUGUUUUCAUUAA